AACGAACGCUGGCGGCAGGCCUAACACAUGCAAGUCGAGCGAGGACUUCGGUUCUAGCGGCGGACGGGUGAGUAACGCGUGGGAAUGUGCCCUUCUCUACGGAAUAGCCCUGGGAAACUGGGAGUAAUACCGUAUACGCCCUUCUGGGGAAAGAUUUAUCGGAGAAGGAUCAGCCCGCGUUGGAUUAGGUAGUUGGUGGGGUAAUGGCCUACCAAGCCGACGAUCCAUAGCUGGUUUGAGAGGAUGAUCAGCCACACUGGGACUGAGACACGGCCCAGACUCCUACGGGAGGCAGCAGUGGGGAAUCUUAGACAAUGGGGGCAACCCUGAUCUAGCCAUGCCGCGUGAGUGAUGAAGGCCUUAGGGUUGUAAAGCUCUUUCAGCUGGGAAGAUAAUGACGGUACCAGCAGAAGAAGCCCCGGCUAACUCCGUG
rnacentral:rRNA from 1 species